rnacentral:lncRNA from 1 species
GUUAAAUUAUCAAAAUAUUAAUAUUCCUUAUUGAGCUAGGCAAUUGACCCAGUCAAACCAUGUGUCUAUAUGUUUACCAUGUAUGUAUUCAAAAUACGGCUCCAGGAGCGAAAUCCGACUUUUAUUUUCUGCGAGAAUCGAAAUUCGAUUUUAAAAUAUGCAACUAAUUUUUAAUAUAAAAUACUUAUUGGAGCAUGUACAGAAAAAUUAAUGUAAGAUUACAACAAAAGUAAGAAACAAAUAACAUUAAUUUGGCGUUGCGUAUGUAUGAACUUCUAAUACAGAAAUGGCUUUAUACAAAGUCUCUUCCUUCGAUUAGUUUCUCAAGUCAUUUCAGAACAGAUCCAAAACCGUAGAUGGAUGGAUCUUGAUUCUUGUUAAUGUAUUUUAAAAUACAAAGUUACACACAUUGGAACUAAAACAAAUCCAUGGAAAAUGUGGAAACAUCUGAUUUUUGUAGAUGACAAACAAAAGAGAAAUUAACAUGGCUUUUGGCCCCUUGGAUCUGCAUGUCCAUGGUUUUGAAGUUAUUCAGAUUCACCAACAUGAAUUUUCUGAUCGAUCCUGCAAAUCACCAAAGCUUAAAAAAGAACACCAUAUAGGUUUAGAUAUCAAAUUCAAAUUGCAUAGUUCUAAAACAUUAAGAGGGAAACUGAAAUAAAGCAGAGAGAGAGAGGGAGAGAGAGAGAGAGAAGGGAGAGAGAGGCCAAUAUGGAGCUCCCUUCAAUCCAAGUAAGGAGAGGAGAAGGCAAUCACAUCUCCUAGGUCAUGCAAACCCUUAAGUUGCGCACUUCAGUUUGAGAACGUGCGCACCCCAGAGGUAUCCAUGAACCAGCAGCAGCGUAAACCAUCUCUCCCUCCUGGUUUUGGACCAAAGGAAGCUCCCAACUAACCCUCAAACAGUACAAGAAAUGCUACCAAAAAGACAAACUAAAAAGAAGAAAAAAUAAGAAAAGAGAAAGUGGUAAAAGAUGCCAAUCUGCCCAAAUGGUUGCUCUAGUUGUGAGGAGAAAUGGUGGGUCUGAAGGGCC